rnacentral:lncRNA from 10 species
UCUGAAUUGGCCCAGCUGGAGAAAGCUGCAUCACUCUAGGGUAAACCAUUCCUGGGACAGCCAAAUCUAAUAAAUAAUUGCAGGAAGGAUAUAAAGUCCCAGCCAUUUAGUCCACUCUGGGACACAUUCAUGUCAUGUACAAUUGAGAGCUUCCCGUGGGUUUGGCCAAGGCUUUGUGGGCCUAUACUGUAGUUUGACUUCUCUCUUUGACCAAUCCUUCUUUCUCCUCCUCAUUUGCACAGAUAUGGAUCCCUAAUCAACAUCUAGCAUGCCAUAUUCCAUUUCAUCAUUUGCUUCCAGAGAAGGUUAUGUGUCCUUAUUUGAGGUUCAGGAAAUAUAAUCAUGUCAAGAAAGGAUACAGUUCAGCCAAUGUUCUUGAGUGCUGCGAGAGAGGGGAAGCAAUGGAGAGGAAAAUUUCUUCCAGUCUUCUCCAGCUCCAAACCAUGGGCCCAGGAUGAAAAUCUGUGGAACAAAGCAUCAGGAAUCCAGAAGAGGGACUAAGCAGAAAUUGACAGAAACCAGUGAAAACAAAGAGAAUACAUAAUCCACCUGCCUUGAUUCAGGACCAUGUAAAUUACAUCAGCUGCAGUCAUAGAUUUUGUCAGCCUCCAAGAAAUCAUCCCCAUAGGACCAAAAUUCAGGUAAGGCAGAGGGCCUCUUUUUUCCCCAUAGCACUAGAAGCUUUGAAGGACCCAGAGGACAGAAUCCUACCUUUUUGAUUACUGGGUUUCAAGGCAGAGUGUGAUCUUUGUCCUAAACAGGGGAGGUGACAUCCAACUGAGCUCCAUCUCACUCACUCAAUGUGGAGAAAAGCAUAGAAUUAUGCUUCAAGGAUCUUUUACAUAUUUCAAGAACCAGAAUGAGGUUUGCACAAACCUGCAAAAUGAUUAAGUAGCAAUAAGGACACUGCAUGUAAGAAGGCAAAAUUGUGCCAGACUCUUGUAGUAUUUGGGACAGAUACAGGAGACAGACAGGAACUACCGUGAUGAGUUUAGCAAUUAAAGGGAGAGUGGUAGGAGUUCAUCUGUGCCACCGGUUGGAGAUCCUUACAUCAAUUUCUCAGUUGUGGUUUUCUUUUACUCUUCAAGGGUUCAGAGCACCGCAUUUCUCAAAUUGCAUUCUAUUUUGUGAAAGUUUCUCAUAAGGCUAAUACCUGUUUCUGCGGACGAAUAAGUUUGGAAAAUACUGAUUUACAGAAAGUUUAUUUACAUUUUAUUUUUUUAUUUUAUAAUUUCUCUGAGUUUUUAAUAUG